UUCUCCUUCCUUAGGAAAGCAAUAGCAAGUGACGAUGCAAAGGCUGUUUGCAGCGAGGUCUCUCUGUUCUUCGAUUUUAAGGAAGCAGACACAGCGUGCUUCUUUCUCUACUUCUCUCCUUUUGGACGAUACUCAGCUUCAGUUUAAGGAAAGUGUUUCCCAAUUUACUCAAGAAAACAUUGCUCCUCACUCAUCGAAAAUAGAC
rnacentral:misc_RNA from 1 species